UACAGAGGGUGCGAGCGUUAAUCGGAAUUACUGGGCGUAAAGCGCGCGUAGGCGGCUUUGCAAGUCGAGUGUGAAAUCCCCAGGCUUAACCUGGGAAUGGCAUUUGGGACUGCAAGGCUUGAGUGCGGCAGAGGAGACUGGAAUUCCUGGUGUAGCAGUGAAAUGCGUAGAUAUCAGGAGGAAUACCGAUGGCGAAGGCAGGUCUCUGGGCUGACACUGACGCUCAUGCACGAAAGCGUGGGGAGCAAACAGG
rnacentral:rRNA from 1 species